rnacentral:rRNA from 1 species
UAAACGAUGUCAACUGGUUGUUGGGGGAGUGAAAUCCCUUAGUAACGAAGCUAACGCGUGAAGUUGACCGCCUGGGGAGUACGGUCGCAAGAUUAAAACUCAAAGGAAUUGACGGGGACCCGCACAAGCGGUGGAUGAUGUGGAUUAAUUCGAUGCAACGCGAAAAACCUUACCUACCCUUGACAUGUCCGGAAUCCUGCAGAGAUGCGGGAGUGCCCGAAAGGGAAUCGGAACACAGGUGCUGCAUGGCUGUCGUCAGCUCGUGUCGUGAGAUGUUGGGUUAAGUCCCGCAACGAGCGCAACCCUUAUCAUUAGUUGCUACGCAAGGGCACUCUAAUGAGACUGCCGGUGACAAACCGGAGGAAGGUGGGGAUGACGUCAAGUCCUCAUGGCCCUUAUGGGUAGGGCUUCACACGUCAUACAAUGGUCGGUACAGAGGGUUGCCAAGCCGCGAGGUGGAGCCAAUCCCAGAAAGCCGAUCGUAGUCCGGAUUGUUCUCUGCAACUCGAGAGCAUGAAGUCGGAAUCGCUAGUAAUCGCGGAUCAGCAUGUCGCGGUGAAUACGUUNCCGGGUCUUGUACACACCGCCCGUCACACCAUGGGAGUGGAAUCUGCCAGAAGUAGGUAGCCUAACCGCAAGGG